GGCUCUUUGAAAUAAAUACAUAAAGAGUCGAACCUGCCCAGUGAUUUUUUAAACGGCCGCGGUACUCUGACCGUGCAAAGGUAGCAUAAUCAUUUGCCCUAUAAUUGAGGGCUUGUAUGAACGGUUUGACAAGAGCAUAACUGUCUUUUAAAAAUUUUAUAGAAUUUGGUUUUUAGGUGAAGAAACCUAAAUAUAAUUGAAAGACAAGAAGACCCUAUCGAGCUUUAGAGCAAUUAAUUAAAAAAUAUAAUUAAAAUAAUUAAUUUUAAUUAAAAACUUUGGUUGGGGCGACUGAGGAACAUAUAAAGCUUCUUUAAUUAGAAUAUGCUUAUAGGCUAUGAUCCAAAAAGUUUGAUUAAAAAAAUUAGUUACCGUAGGGAUAACAGCAUAAUCUUUUUCAAGAGUUCUUAUCGAAAAAAAGGUUUGUGACCUCGAUGUUGGACUAGGAUAUCUCAAAGAUGCAGAAGUCUUUAAUAGUUGGUCUGUUCGACCAUUAAAAUCCU
rnacentral:rRNA from 1 species